CUCUGUGACUCCUACGGGAGGCAGCAGUGGGAAUAUUGCACAAUGGGGGAAACCCUGAUGCAGCCAUGCCGCGUGUGUGAAGAAGGCCUUCGGGUUGUAAAGCACUUUCAGUAGGGAGGAAGGUAGUGUAGUUAACACCUGCAUUAUUUGACGUUACCUACAGAAGAAGCACCGGCUAACUCCGUGCCAGCAGCCGCGGUAAUACGGAGGGUGCGAGCGUUAAUCGGAAUUACUGGGCGUAAAGCGCAUGCAGGCGGCCUGUUAAGUCAGAUGUGAAAGCCCGGGGCUUAACCUCGGAAUUGCAUUUGAAACUGGCAGGCUAGAGUCUUGUAGAGGGGGUAGGAAUUUCAGGUGUAGCGGUGAAAUGCGUAGAGAUCUGAAGGAAUACCAGUGGCGAAGGCGGCCCCCUCGGACAAAGAACUGACGCUCAGAUGCGAAAGCGUGGGGAGCAAACAGGAUUAGAUACCCUGGUAG
rnacentral:rRNA from 1 species